GACGAACGCUGGCGGCGUGCCUAACACAUGCAAGUCGAGCGCUAAGGCCCGGUACUUGUGCCAACCGGAUGUGCAGCGAACGGGUGAGUAACGCGUGGGGCAUCCGCCUUUCUGUGGGGUACAACAUGGGGAAACGAAUGCUAAUACGGCAUAAGAACUUUAAACACAGGUGGGAAGUUUGAAAGAUGCAAUUACGGCACUUAAGGAUGGUCUCGCGGUGUAUUAGCUUGUUGGUGGGGUAACGGCUCACCAAGGCGAUGAUGGGUAGCCGGCCUGAGAGGGUGACCGGCCACAUAGGGCCUGAGAUACGGGCCAGAGUGCUACGGGAGGCAGCAGUGGAGAAUAUUGCACAAUGGGCGGAAGCCUGAUGCAACAAUGUCGCGUGCGGAAUGACUGUCUGCGGGUUGUAAACCUCGUUCGCCUGUGAAGCAGCGUGAGUGACGGUAAUGGGUCAAGAAGCACCGGCUAACUACGUG
rnacentral:rRNA from 1 species